rnacentral:lncRNA from 1 species
AGUGAGUUGAAAGAGAUAAUUGCGAGUCGCAAAAGUACAUCGGCUUGAGCAUUUUCUAUCUUUGGGAUGUGAAAGAUCUCAAACUUGACCUAAAAGCCAAAAAAAGGGGCGGAGAGGAGACCCUGGAGCUCUUUAGUACUGGGGCCAUCUUCCGGCAAAACCUUCCACAGCAGAGAAUGAUGACAAAAUGCAAAGUAAAAGUUUGGUUGAAAGUGACCCUAUAUAUAUAGGAUCCUUCAACAGUCCAAAUAAAAUCAAUCAAAUCUGAAUCUCAUCAGAUGAUG